ACUCUGCAGGAAAGUGGAUCUUGUGAGCCAAAUUUGAGUAUCACUGACGUAAACUGACACCAUUCACGUCACAUGCUCUAACCGACGCUUUCAGAAUAAUCCUUUCAACAUGGCAGAUACUCGCAACUUAUUGAAGGACUUGUUUGUGCUGAGUUCCACAUAUCACAGGAAACAACAAAAGCUAGCAAGACUUCAGAAACGUUGCGUGACAUUCUAAAUGUUUAUUAUCUUCAGGAUAUACACAAUGUUGGCCUUUGUGCUUCCCUGGUGUCCCAUGUGUGAACCAGCAGUACGUCGAGACUUGAAAUGUAGAGUUGUCUGGCGAGCCAGACAUCACAUACACUCCUGUCAUUGUUGUCAAUGAAAGCACUACAAGUCCUGCAAGCACUGCAGCUGUGAUUGAUGAUCUUCCGGUGUUUGACAUGUUCAGAAACACUUGUUCAAACAGUCUGUGUUUAAAAAAAUAAGAUAGAAUAAACAAAUCUUCAUACGUACAGCUGCCGUUGGUUUUUUUUAUUAUUAUGCUGAACUUCUGCAUGAUUAGCGUUAUGCAUACAGUAGGUGUAUUUUCUGAGGUAGUAUUUGUAUUCAACAGCAUCAAAAUAACUGAAAUUAAAAACAUUAUGUAUGGUAAACCGUUUGAAGUACUGUGCACUUACCAAAUAAAAUGUAAACACUAAGUUUUACUUAACUUUACUUUAUAAUUGUUUGCUUUAAAGUUUUUACUUAAAUGUUUUGAGGUAAUCAGUUUCAACAAAAGUUGAGUAUUCUAAACCAAUCAGGUUUUACAGUGCACAGUGAUUUAUAUUUGUCUGGGAAUAAAGAAACUUCUCAGUUGAGCUUCAGUGAGUCUAUGGAGUUAUGACACCAGUGGGGCCCAUUUCUAUGAUUUCACCAAAAAUCACUCAAAAAAAGGCUCCUAAUAUAAAAAAAAAAACUUAAACCACCCUACUAAUGAUGUAGCUUGUCCUUUUUACAAAGCAUCCACUCAAAACAGGUUUUCGGCCCAUUGCCUGAAAAACAACAAAAGACCUGUAAUUACUUGCCAUCUAGCAGAUACUUUUCAUCAUAGGUGUCUUACAGUACACUAAUUACAGACACGGCCCCUAAAGCAACUUGUAACAGGGCCCCCAUGAAAAUUCACGGGGCGGUACAACAUUUACAUGGGUGGGCCUCCCUCAUUACUGAGCCUGAGACAGCAUUCCCGAUUAUCCCCCCUGGGGAUGGUUCUGCUUGGUUGAUCAUGAAUACAAUGAUGAUGGAAGAUGAUUUAUCUCAGUGUAGUGUUAUUUUAGCUUAGUAACCCGUUUAGCAUUACCAACAGAACUCUAGAACUGUUUAGCUUUUAGAAGUCAUUAAAUCAAAGUAAAAAAUAAACAACGGGACACUAAAACGAACAGUGAGAAAAAUGCUACCAGAACUGAGUAAAGCUGAAUUAUGAUUGUCAUUACCCUGCUCAGAGUUUGCCACGUUAGUGAGAUAUUUCAUGUGGAUGUGCUAGGCUUCCGUCAGGAAGAAAACAAUGACCCCCUUUACCACUUAAAACCUCAAGAGUUAGUUUACUGAAUGAGUGACAAACAUGCUGGAAGGAACCAU